UACGUAGGGGGCUAGCGUUGUCCGGAUUUAUUGGGCGUAAAGAGCGUGUAGGCGGCCAGGUAGGUCUGGUGUGAAAACUCGAGGCUUAACCUCGAGAUGUCAUCGGAAACCAUCUGGCUAGAGUCCGGGAGAGGAGAGUGGAAUUCCUGGUGUAGCGGUGAAAUGCGCAGAUAUCAGGAAGAACACCCGUGGCGAAAGCGGCUCUCUGGAACGGUACUGACGCUGAGACGCGAAAGCGUGGGGAGCGAACAGG
rnacentral:rRNA from 1 species